UUGAACGCUGGCGGCAGGCCUAACACAUGCAAGUCGAGCGGAUGAAGGGAGCUUGCUCCUGGAUUCAGCGGCGGACGGGUGAGUAAUGCCUAGGAAUCUGCCUGGUAGUGGGGGAUAACGUCCGGAAACGGGCGCUAAUACCGCAUACGUCCUGAGGGAGAAAGUGGGGGAUCUUCGGACCUCACGCUCUCAGAUGAGCCUAGGUCGGAAUAGCUAGUUGGUGGGGUAAAGGCCUACCAAGGCGACGAUCCGUAACUGGUCUGAGAGGAUGAUCAGUCACACUGGAACUGAGACACGGUCCAGACUCCUACGGGAGGCAGCAGUGGGGAAUAUUGGACAAUGGGCGAAAGCCUGAUCCAGCCAUGCCGCGUGUGUGAAGAAGGUCUUCGGAUUGUAAAGCACUUUAAGUUGGGAGGAAGGGCAGUAAGUUAAUACCUUGCUGUUUUGACGUUACCAACAGAAUAAGCACCGGCUAACUUCGUG
rnacentral:rRNA from 1 species